AAACUUUACAUCAUUUUGAUUAAAGCAUAAAAUUUAAUUGUGUUUUACACUAUAACGAUAAACGCUUUUUGUAAUAGAUAUUUUGGACCCGGGGGCGGUACCCGGCACCUCCACCAUAAAAUUAAGGGGGUGACAUAGUUUCGACAGGAUAUUGAAAGAAUUAGUUUUCGUUCAGGCUGACUAGCCUGGUUGGCAAUAGCCAAUAAAUCAUCAAUUUUAUAAUUGCAAACGAUAAUUUUGCAGUGGCUGCGAAUGAUAAUUUCGCAGUUGAGUAUGCAGCUGCAGCUUAAAUUUAGUCAAUUGACGAUUUAAGCACUAGUUGCAUAAAUGCGGUUUUGGGGGUGCCGAGCAACAGAAACCUCCUUU
rnacentral:tmRNA from 1 species